rnacentral:lncRNA from 1 species
ACAGGGAUUUUCUCUUCAAGAAUAUUUCACUAGUAAAUCUGUUUGUAACUUACAAGUAUACAGAACCCGAUUUAGAGCAACCUCAAGACACACCUUGAUUUGCUACACUAGCCUCACUUGUUCUUGAAUCGAUACGUGAUUCAAGAACCUCUCACCCAAAUCUCUUAGCACACUAGCUCACAAAAACUCUCACAGAUUUUCGCUCACCCUUUGCGAAGUAUUCUCUCAGUUGUGUUGAAAAACCCUACAAGGUUUUUCACACGCCUAUUUAUACAUAAUAGGACUUGCGGCUACUCCUCGCCUAGAUCCUCUUUGUGAUUUCUCCAAAUCUUCAUGAGAAUCUUCACCUGGAGAUAGAGGAAACUUGAUAUUUUCUUCAAAGAUCCUCCAAGAUACUCCAAGCUUCCUAUCCACGUCAGCUUCUCGUCUUUUGAAGUGUCCAGCACGUCCUGCAGCUCCAGCUCAGCUUCCAGCUCACCUCAACGUGUGUAGAUUGCUUCGCAAGUCUUCCUGUGUCAGUUCCAGAGCUAGUCGGACUGCUACACGUGCUACUCCAGCCUUGUUUGCAUCUUCACUUAAGCCUGCCCGCAAAUUCAAGCUGCUUCCGUCGUCAUUCUUCAACGCCAGCAGUCACAGACGCCAUCGUAAUCAGUGCUAGCUAAGCUUCACCGCCAGCGACUCCAAUCCCCACAUCCAAUUAAUCUCAUGCCUUGAUGUCUUUCUUUCGCCAAUCUUUCAACUGCUUUUAGAUUUGAUUCUAGAUCUCCAUCUUCAAGGAAGCUUUGUCGCUGAUCAGAUCCAAUUUAUUAAUCUAAGCAAUGUUCAUGGUUGUUCUGAGAAUCGAGCAAGAGGAAAACAACAAAGAUAUUACUCCAAGCCAGAAGAAAAUCUGCAACAAAACUUAAAAGAAAAUCGCUGAAUCGAAGAAAACAUGGCCGACAAAGAGAUUGCAAAAGGAGAAACCCAAACUUAGCCAGAAUAUUAUUAUCCAAAAAACAGCAAAAGAAAAUUCGAUCAAAAUCAAAAUGUAUAUAAUCAAAACCAGAAAACUUCGGUAAAGAUUCCGAUUUCAGAAAAAAAAUCAGAAAUUGCCUCUCUCUUUCUCUCUCUGAAAAAUAGGUGUGAGAGAGGAGACAUAGAUUUUUUUCUAUUGAUUUUUUUUGUGAGAGAAUCGAGCAAGAGGAUUUAUUUUUGUCGAUAUGGAUUAUAUUGAUUAAACCCAAAAGGCUGAAAUUAAACUGGCCAAUAUUGGGCCUCUCACAAUGAUAGUGAAGAGAUAAGUGGAAAAUAGAUGAUUACACGUGUCCCAUGAUUCAUCCCCAGGUUAUACCACGUGUAUAUCUUCUACAAUCGCCGUCAUGUCAGCUACUCCGGCGACUCUCCGAUUUCCGUUGCAAUUAAUUUCGUACCUCUGCACUAUUUCUGCCGAUCUUCAGUUCCUGAAAUAUAUUUGUCAGAAUGAACAAUUCAUGAUGAAAUUAAGACAACUUCUAAGUUUUAUCCAUCGUCGCCGUCAGAUCUACUCUAUUGAUCAAAACUAUGUCUGCCGUUUCAAAACUACUCCAUAAUGGUUCCGGAAGUUGCUGGAAAAGACCAUCCGAGAAUCACUGGAUGUGUUGCGUCCUUUGUUUCGACAAUGUAGCUCUAGACCUAUCCUCAAAGGGAUAUCAUAAGCUACUCCUUUGGGUGUUGCACUAGAAUCAUCCUCUAGACUUAUCUUCGUCCUAGUCCUGCGAAAAUGCUUAAUAGCAAUUGCCUUGGACAUCAUAUUGAGACAAGCUCCAGAAUCACAAAGCACAUUGUUAAACAUUUCACCUCUAACUGAACAAGAGAUGAGAAACUGACCUUGGCCUUCGAUUUUGUGAAGUGUUCGAACAGGUCUACCUUUUCUGGCAUGAUUGAACAAGUCUUCUAUUUCAGGAAUGAAUUCCUUUCUCUUACUGAAGUAAUGGCCGAUCAUGAAGUCUUUGCAAGCUCUGGCAAAGGUGAUUCCUUCAGGUAAGUUUCGAACUACAUCAUUGAACUCGACAAGCUUUUCUUUGCUGAUUUUGUUGGUGUAGUAACUGCAUUCUUCAGGUCUUUGAAGGUGAAUUGCAUAGACAGCUGCUUCUGGUGAUGUUAGGUAUCGGGCUCGCAUAAAGUGUGUGUGGAUUUCCUCCUUAGACUCCUUACAGUAUCUGAAUAAUACCUGCAAGCAACGAAGCUUCCAGACAUCAUCAAAGCUUAGAUGAGCAGGGAGUGCUUUGACGAAGUUGUUAAACUCUAUCAGUUGAUCCAUUCAACUUCUGGGGUACUGCUUCCUGAGGAUUAUCCUGCUUCUGGGUCCUCUACGAACAAGCCAUACUCUUCAUCUUCAGAGUAUUGUUCUUCAUACUCAUUUUCACAAGACAAAGCCAUGUUUCAGAGUAUGGCUUGUCUUCGUCUUCAGAUUCCUGAGUGCUGAUAGAGUAAAUCAGUUGCUGAGAAAGGGGUCUAGCUACUCUAGAAGGUGCAUCAGACGAACAACUGCUUGUAUAAGCCGGAUGAGGCUGUCUUGGAAUGUUUUGACGGCUGGUCGUGACUGCAGGAGAUGCGACUGCAGGGAAUCAACUAUGGGCCGCAGGUUGGCUAAGCACAACCACGGGUGGACGUCUCUUGGUCGUGGUCACAGGGAACACGACCGCGGGAGAGUGUCUUCGAAGUGGAUUGCUAGAAUUGCUUGCUGUUUUGCUUCCUGAAUGAUCUCCUGGGUCUUCUGGUUCAGUAUACUUUCUCUCUUGGCCUAGGUCUUUAAUGUAGAGUACCGAAAUUUGGUUUCCAAGUCCUUGCAUGAUCUCCUCAACUUUUUCUUAAACUUCAUCAGGAGCAUAAACAACCUUAUCUAUGGUUGAGUCAAGCUCUUUGGUUUUGUCAAUAAUCUUGUAUACCUUCUCUGAAACUUCAACCGUGAAGUCAUAAGACUCGUUAUUAGCUUCGUUGAGGGCAUUUUCCACAUCUUCGAGUUUGAAAUCCAGGUCCAUGAUCUUGUUUUUAGUGUUGCAAAGCUCGUGAGCGUGCUUACUUGUUCUUCUUCCAUGUUGUCGAAUCUAUUAGCGAUCACGGCUGCGUCUUUGGUUGCUCGUUCCUCCAUCGAUUUGAUCUGGGAAGCAAGGUCAUCAAUCUUCUCGUCCAAAAGCUUUGAUAUGCCCUCAAUCUGUUCGUUAAGAGCGGCUGUAGUAACGGCUUGAGCUUCAAUAAACUGUUUGAUCGUGCCUUCAAGCUGCUUCAAUUGAUUACUGAUCUGGACGUUCUCAUCCUGCUGGAGGAUUUGGUGAGGUAGGCGAUAAACAGGUGGUCUAGGUUUCACCAUGGGAGGCGUGUAAGGGUUGUCCAGGAAUGCUCGAUAGUUCAGAUUUGAGUUCCGAACCGAGUUGAAGAGGUUGCGUAUGUAUUGCUCUUCUCUGAGUGUUGUAAAAACAUCCCUCGUAGUAGUUCGGUUUAUAUAGUCUAUUGCUUCGGGAACUUAAAGAAAAAGAACUAACAAAAAAUGGAAAUAAGCAGAAAAAAGGUUCUAGAGUCGAUUUACCAACCUUUCUUACGGCUUUGCGGAAAAAAAAACGUGUGCCUUCCCUGGCAACGACGCCAAAAACUUGAUGUCGUUGGUGAUGAGGGUGUCAAGAUUUACCCUAAAUGAAAUUAAUUAGCCGCAAGUGCACAGUUGAUCAAUUGUAGUACUUAGGGAUCGAAUCCAUAGGGAAUGAUGUUCUUUUUUACAAAAUCCUUCAAAAGAAAUAUGAAGUAAGGAAGUCUAGAACCAGGCGAUUUUUUAGAGGGGUUUUGGUGAUGUCUUUAAAACGUAAAAACUAAUCUUAACGGAAUCCGGGAAUUAAAAUGACCUAAUAUCUAAACUUAAUGAAAUCGACUAAAAACGAUGAAAACGGCUAUACCUAAAUUGCUUGAAUGAAAACUGGAAUAAGAAAAAUAACCUGAUGACUAAAACUUAUAUUGAAAUCGGCGAAAACUUAUAAGAACGAGACGUUGGGUUUUCAGGGAAAUUCUCUCCGGGGGAUGAACGAUUCAAAACAUUGCUAAAAAGUAAAUUUAAAAGAUCCUUGCUAAAAACUUUUAAAACUUGAGUCACGAACGUAUGAAUACGCCACUGUCGUGAUCAUAACCAACUAUCUCUCGCAACCCUGACCAGUAGGUUUCCACUCUGACCCUGGAAGAGAAAAGAUGCAACCUUGCUUAAGACUCGUCAACAUUCACAAUUCGCCCAUAGGUAGGUUUCCACUCCUAUAGUUGAUCUGCUCUUCUCAAACUAGAUCUGACCCCGGAUGAAUACUUUCGCAACACCAAGGACCAAGAUCAGAUUGUAGUUCAUGACGAUACUCUCAUGCAUUAAAAAUGGGCUUUGAGGUCGGACAGACCAUUCUCCGCAUUCGGGAAUGACGGGACCGGUGCAAAAUGGGUGUUGGCUGCGGUAGGAAUAUUUACCGGCUAGUUUACGGGACAUCAUGAUCUACUCAUAACUUUUGAUUGAACAGUUGGAUUGCCAUUCUGUUGAGUUUUCUGGAAAGCUGGUAUUUCCAUCUUUCAGGUCUCCAAAUUUGAGUUGGAUCAGACGGUGAGAAGGUCUUCAUUUGAGGGUGAACUUCUGACGGUUUGACUCUGAGCUCAAAUCUGGUCUUCUAUCCAUUUUGUUAAGCUUUUUCCUAAGUUUCCUGAAAAGAGUCUUGAAACUACAAAUACUAGAAAAACAUAAUAAAAACACUUGAAAGCAAUAAAAAAACUUAGAAAAAGUAUUUCAAAACGAUCCAUAAAAGUGGUCAAAAUACAGUGUUAUCAUUUACUUCGCUCAAGUGAGCUUGAUUGUUCUCAGACUUAGCCUUUCGGCGACACUCCAAAAUUUAUGUCCAAGCUUGUUGCAGUAGUUACACUUCCCAUUGAACUUAUUCAUGGUGAUUGACUGAUAACACCGGAUUUUGACCAUUUUUAUGGAUCACUUUAAUAUCUUUUACAUGUGUUUUUACUUCAUUUCCAAAGGUUUUCAAAGGAUAUCUAUGUUUUCGGAUUUUAAAAGACUUUUCAGGUAAUUUGGGAUAAAGAGGCACAAAUUGGAACAAAAAGACUCAUUUGCAGACCGUCAGAAUUCUCAUGGAGAGACGAAGACCUUUUCACCGUCUGAUCACCCUCAAAAUUGAACAACUUAUAGAAGAAUCAACCAGCUUUCAAAUGCACUUGGUUUGGAGACAUUCCAACGGUUGGAUCUCAAGAUAUUUCAUUAGCCCCGGAGCCACUCGAAGACGGCCAGCAAGUCACGUGACCGCGGCCAACAGCCCAUUUCCCGCGGUCAGAAGCCUCCCGACCGCGGCCAACCACCUAAUCCCCGCGGUCACGUCACUCCCGACCGCGGCCAUCAAGCUCCGAACUAAAGCCCAUAUAUCUGAAGCCCAAAGUCAUUCUCAGCCUCAAUUCCGGAACCCUAGAGACCAUGGAGAAUUGAAAACUAUAAAUACUAGUCUUUUAUGUCGUUUUUAGAGAGAACCCUUCAUAGUUUACAAAAACUCUUUUCCUUUAGCCGUUUUUAUGCUAUUUUUGUAGAAGAUUGUUCAAGUCCGAGUUCUUCAAUAGAGAAGCUUUCUUCAUCUCUUUUCUUUACUGUUUUUCAUUACUUUUAUUAAAAUCAAUGAUGAUGUCGACCUCAGCCAUGUCUGAGUAGAUCCCGAGUUGGGCUUAGGGUUCCCGAAAGGGGCUCUCAUAAUCGAUUAAGACAUCUAGGUUUAUAGAUCUGGGAUUUCGACUUGUUCUCUGUUUAUUCUUGUUCUUAUUGCAUGUAUGCUUGAUUGAUCACCUAAUAUCUGAUCUAGAUAGUUAAUGUUGUGAAAGUUUUCAUUAAGUAUCAGCUCUAGAAUGAAAUAGGCGAUUUUUCCGUAGGAGUGGAAACCUACCUGCGGCGAGAUCGUGAGUAUUGACGAGUCUUGUGCAGCUCUUGCGUUCUCUCCCUUCCAGGGCCAGAGUGGAAACCUACUGGUCAGGGUUGCGAGAAACAAUUGGUUAUGAUCACGACAGUGACGUAGUCAUACCGCCGUACUCUAGCUCUAGAACCCAUAUAUAUCGAUAUCCGUCAAUCCCAAUCUAUCUACCCUAGUGUCAAAACCGAUUAUGAUCCCUUAAAGUUCCCGAAAGCUCAGCGUUUUUAGCCAUAGUUUACAAACCAAUCGAUUUUCGCUUGCUUAUUUAGAUCUGCAUUUUAAUUACCUUAGUUUGAUAUUUACUUGUUUUACUUGCUUUCCAUUCGAUCUUUCUACUUGCUUUCUAGGAUAGAUUUAUUUUCUUUCUUUUGUUUUAGUUUAAUUCGUGAUAAAAAACCAACCUUUAAAACCAAUCUAGUCUAGACAUAAAGUUAGAAACCAUAGAAGAAUACCAGGCACACAAAUCUCUGUGGAUUCGAACCCUAAAUACUACAACUGAUUAGCUGUGCACUUGCAGCUUUCAUUUGUUUUGUUAAGGGCAAAACUUGUUCCCUCACGCAGUUGACACGACAUCAUUGACCUUGCUUCUUGAAGCUUGUGUUUUUUUGUGGAAGAAAGUUGUUAGGCGCACCAUUGUUGGUCAUUAGUUUGCCUUUGCCUUUUUUCUUGUAAUCAGCCACGUUUGCUUCAUGGGUAAUUAUCUGACCAUCUUCUUUUCCAACUCUGUCACGUUUUAGUGACUCAUUCUGCAAUCUGUAAAUCAGAUUUGCCAGAGACAGGGCUUUUUGCUUGUAAGCAAGAUAGUUCUGGAUGUCUGCCCAACUUGGAGGUAACUUCUCAAUGAAGCAGUUUAUCGUGAAUGUCUCACACAGCUUCAUUCCUUCAGUUCUAAUCUCAUGAAAUAUUAGUUCCAGCUUGUGAACUUAUGGCAUGAUGGGGCGAGAAUCCACCAUCUAGAACAUAAGGAGUUUUGCUGUAACGAAUGUCCCAGAGCUGACGUUGUAUGAUUUGUACUUCUUUUACAAAGCAUCCCAGAGUUCUUUGGAAGUUUUGACCUUGUUGUAAAACGUUGAACAGCUGGUCCACCAGGCGAUUUUCGAUGUGCACUUUACAUAGGAAGUCUGAGUGCUUCCAUGCGUCAAGAGUGGCAAGAAUCGCAUGAUCUUUAUUUCCUUUUGGUACCUCUAGUGGAUCCUCUUUGAGGUAAUUGCUUAUCUGCAUUGACGACAGAAAGAAGUGAAUCAUUUCUUGUCACUGCUUGAAGUUCGAACUAUCAAACUUUUGGGGCUGAACUUCUGUCGCUGAAGUCCUGCAGUUACCAACACUAGUAUCGUGGUUUCACCCGAUCCUGUAUUAGCUCCAUUGAAAGUCAUGCUGAUGUCACCAGAAUUCAUUGUUGAAUCUUUUCAGAAAAAAAUACCGAAGUUAGUAUUGAGAAACAGGAUUCAAAACAGCGAUUAAAAUGAUUAUGUCGCUAUACACAGCGUUCUUCGAAAAGGAUUCGCUUUGAGUUUUCACAGAUAUUACCAAUAGGUAUUCUUAGAACUCAAAAAUAGUUAUUCCUAGAAUCGUCUUAAGAUGUUCUUAAACGCUAUUUUUGUUGUAUUAACAUAUCAUUUUGAAAACAUUUCGCGGACCUGUUUGCGACUGCCGCAUAAAUCCGUUUUAUAAAUUCGUCUUUAACAAAUCAAAAGUUGUAAGAAAUAGCUAAGAAACUUUCACAUAGACUUUGUAGAUCAAUUUUAAAAACUUGUUGUUUCCAAAACCGUUUAUAAAUAUUGUUCGCAAUAUUCAAUCUGAUUCAAGCGAUAAGCAGGAAGCGGUAGUGAGUUAAGAAUGUAAGACUGCGAAAAUCUGAUUGAAAUCACAAAAGAGAAUAAUAAUAUUAUAAAUGAUAUGUUAAAGAAAGUGAAUAAAACGAGACUUUGAAAAACGUUUGAAAACAAACAAAACACGGAGUCGAGAUAUGAUAUCUUUCCUUAACUCAAUAAAUCGCUGGUAAUGUAUGACCGUACAAAGUGAUUUUUGAAUCCUAGGAUACAACCGUGAUGAGAACACCCAUAAUAGAAUCUACGAAUUGAAAUAACUACGUUAUGACUCUUGAGACACUUACGAUAUUAAGGGAGAGAGAUUUGCUGGAAGAAUAUUUUGCUUAAGCUUUUUCUGAUUUUUUUUCAGUGUAUCGAAUGAGAAGAGAGGAGGUGUCUAUUUAUAUGGAAUACUCAGCUUGAUCCACAAGAAAUAAGCUUUGGCAAAAAGGAAUAUCCGUGAGAUAGUCUCCUUUUUCCCUUAAGUAAAAGGAUUCGAAAAUAUUCCGUAAUUAUCUUCAAGUAAUCUUUUAUUAUUCAAGAUUUAUCCUUUCGCUAUGCAAAAUAUUAUCCCGAAAGAACUAAGAAGCCCAUGACUCACGCCCAGCUAUAUAGAGCCCAAGAGCCAACUAAAAAUGCAAUGAGCAAUGAGCGCGAGCACGAACGCGAGCCCGAGCCCGGCGACGGCAGCGCGCGUAGAUGUUUUUGCAUAAUACCCUUUUACUUCCACAAAACUGUUUGACCCUUAUUGUGAGAAUGCCAUAUAUAUUCGAGAGGUUUCUCUCCUUGCUAAGCAAUGUGGUACUUUUACACUUCCACUUUUAGUUAUACCUAAUGAGAACAUUUCAUUUUCAUAGGCUCAAACUCAAAUCUCAAAUAAAUUUAUAAGGUCCAUUUAUUUAUUAAACUUCAUUUCUCAUACACAUAAAUACUCAAUAUUACAAGAUCAAAUGCUUAUUAAAAUUGAGUUCCAACUAUAAAUACUGAAAAGGUGCAACCCAAGGUUGAUCCGAAUCGGAUCAGACUUUUGAAAACAGAUAAACCAAGUAAUGACACAUCGGUCAGUAGUAUCAACUUGCAGACCAAUGUGAACAAUUGUAGAGAUUCAGCUAGAAUUUUUUUUUUCUCUAUAUGGGAUUCUAUAUAUCAGUUUGCAGCUGACAUGAUUGACAAGUCUUGACUAAACUGAACAUAGCUUUUGAAGCAGAGGUUGCAAGAAUUACGUGAAGCUAACCAAAUUUACCAUCUUGUCAUUAAAUUUUAGAAUAAAACUAGGUGAAUACCUGCAUGUAAUGUGCAUAUUUUUUUCUUCAACUAUUUCAAAUUUGUAUAUUUUUAUAAAAAAAAUAUAAUCAUCAUUUGUUAUGUGUUAGUGUAUUAUUAUUAUAAAUCAAUCAAUUUAAAAUAUAAUAUCAUAAAAGAAUCAAGAGUUUAUACAAAAAAAAUAUCUAUUAAUAAUUUUAAUUAAUUAUAAUAUAAAUUUUUGUUUAAUAUUUAUAUAAAUUUUAUUUAAGAAUCAAUUAAUAAAAAAAAAAUUUCAUUUUCUUUAAGUGGUUUAAAACUUAAUAUCAAAAUUUAAUAAUGAAUUUUCUUUAAAAAAAUUGUAACUUUAAGCUAAAAAAUACGAUACAUGGCAUCUCUAUAUUAACUCUCAAAUGCUGAUGUGGCAUUUAUAUGGAGAGAGUUGAUCCUCUUUUAUAUAUAUGAUGUGCACGGGAAGAUUUUCAUCUGUUAUGAUCUUUCAGCCAUAUCAGAUUAUCUCUGCAUAUUUUGACAUGUUUUUAGAAACAAUGUCAUAUAAUGAGAAUUAUAACGCAAAAAUGAAGCUACAUAGAUUGUAUAUGUUGUAAUCGAAUUUGAGCUUUAUCUAGAAACGGUAAGGCUUUAAUUCAAGAUGAUCUUCGUAAUACAUCCUUUUGGUAUGUAUCUUCAUGUUUGCUUCUUUUCACGCGAAAGUGUAUUUUCCAUAUUCUUUGGAACUCCAUAAAGCUUUCUUGACCCAGUCAACUUCCAAACACCUAAAGCUUUCUUAACCGAGUCAACUUCCAAACACCUAAUGGAACACAAAUAUAUCCAAAACAAGAGGCAAAUACACUCUAUGACUCCUCAAAUGUGCAACAAGACUCACGAGAAAUCUAUAUGUGACAUUCUGUCUGAUUCACUUGUUGCCGGAGCAACAUAAUUUUUUCUUUUCUUUUUAUCUAUUUUUUUUAUUUGGGCACAGCUUUAAUCCCUCAAAUGAACGUUGUAGUUUAUUAAAGAUCUAGUCGGAUGGGAUCCACUGGAAAUCUCUCCAAUCACAGUUUCCGUCAAGGGGACUCAUUAGAAAUAUUUCCAGAACAUUGCCGUUGAACAAGGCUUCACCUUCACAUUUUGCAACACAAAACAAAUUACGAGUGUUAAACUAGACCCGCAUCACAUUUCUAACAUCAUGGUUAAUUACAUCUACAAAUUAUACUCAAACAUGCACUAAAUUGAUCCAAAUUACUUGAAUAUCAAUUCCUCCGGACUUGCCUUCCCACAUUAGUCUAGUUUUAAUACAGCUAUUUCUCGUAUUCUCUAUCAAGUGGUUGAUAUUAUGUAAAAGAAUGAUGUAUGGUAUAUUAUGGAUUGUUUAAUGACUAGUUUGCUAAUAUAGUCUAAAACAUAUGGUCAUUAAGUUUAUGAAGUAUGGUGAGUCCAAUUUUUUGGUGCAACGAUUGUUCACUUUUGUUAAAUUUUAAUAUGUUGCAACUUUGUUUGUAAAUGCUGAACUAUCAUUACUAUAAAAUGAUAUCCUAAAUGUAUUCAAUGUUACAUCUUCUAGCAUAGUUCCAAUAUUUUUUAAUGCAUUAUGGUAUCCUUUUAAAUGUUAACCCCAUAAGCGAAAUUGAAAAAAUUGCCUCAUAAUCGAUAUUUUCAUUUGGUAAAAAAGUUCGACAAUCCCAAAAAUAUAAUGUUCGCUAUUGAGAACCUAUAAGAAAACAAAAAAUAAGGAUUUAAAUGUUUUAGAGUCUUUUUCAUAAAAACCAUCAAAUCUAAAUCAUAUUUUUCUUGCAUUUUUCGAAUUUAUGUUCACAAAAAAAAAUCGUGAAAACAAACACAUGAGGACUAUUCUGACAACCCAUUGGCAUCUUGUUGUUGCAAAAGUUAGUUAUGUUGAUGAUUUUUAUUGUUUAUUGUACACCUCAAUUUUUACGUCAAGUACAGACUCUAAGGCAAUAUCUAGAAUAAAAGAUCUUACUCAAGCAAAAAGCAAACAAAUCAAAAUAUGAACUGUGUUUUGUUCAAAUUCUUAGAUGAAGCAACUAAGAGAUUGGAUAUAAGCUGAUUUGAGAUUAUCAUAUUCAAAGCCAGCCAUGACCAUCAUAUGAUGUGGAAUUUUUUGUGAUAAAGUGAAUCUUCUAGACCACAGAGAAUGUUUCACAAAGAGUAAAGACGUCCAAAUUCAUCGGAAAUUCAUGGGCACAUGCAUAAUCAAUUUACUGUUUUUAUUUAUAAUCAAAUCUGUUAUUGCCUAGUUUUUGUAACCAAUUAUGCUCUUGCCUUGUUCUUUUUAGGAAUGCCAUGGAUACGAAUUCUGGUUAGAUGAAGUUAUGAGGCUGGUUUUUGUGAAGUUAGGAGGUUUGUUAUUGAAAUUAGUAUUUAUUAAAUUAUUAAGCAAUAUGAAUUUCAUUUGUCGAUGAUACAACCAUAUACGAGAAAAACUGUACAAUCAUAUGUAGAUGAAUGUAAGGAUUGAGUUUGUAUAAAAAAAUUUCAUAUAAACAAUAAAUUUUGUUGUUGCUGAUGAACAUAAAGCAUUUUUGGUGUCUUAUUAAUAAUGUUGGCAGAAAACAUUUUAUUUCAAAACAAUAAAUAUAUUAUGAGAGAAAUGAGUAAUCAAAACUCUUGAUACUUUUUAUGUUAUCGUAUAAUAUUUGAUUUUUAGGGAAUGAAUUAACUAACUUUAGAAUUGAAAUAAAUUUUGAUGAGAAGAAUAAUUUUUAAAAAAAAUUAUUGGUCUAUUUGGAUAAUAGCUACUAAAAUAUCUAAUAAAAAAAAUCAGAAGAAAAAGUCAGAGAAAAAACCCAAUACAUAGUAGAUGAAAUAGAAGAUGAUGAUAUUUCUGAUCAGAAUCUUCUUGUUGAUGUGCCGUCUAAUGGAUUAUUUGUGCCAUUAUUAAGUAUAAAUCUUUUUAGCUAUGAAGAUAAUGAUAUUUCUUAUCAGGAUCUUAUUCUCGAUGUGCCGUCCAAUGGAUCAUUUCCGCAAGCAAAACUUCUUCACAUGCUGCUCAAUGGAGUAUUCCUUCAAGCAGAACUUCUUCACAUGAUAUGAUAGAAGGGAAAGUUUUUCAAAUUUAUACUUAUCAAUAUCGAUUUUACAAAUUUUGUAAUCAGUUUUGUAUACAUCUCAUUUUUACAAAUUUUUACAAAUUUCUCACCUAGCUAUUAAAAUUAGUAUUCUCGAAUAAGGUUGAAUGAGGAUGAAGUUAAGAAACUGGUUUUUGUCAUAUGGGGAGUCUGUUUAUAUUUCUCUUUUGCAAACUUUUUUGUUAAAAACCAUUGACCUUAAAUCUCUCUAAAAUAUUAGUGAACAAUCUGUUAUCUAAUGUUGUGCAAUAAAUCUCUAUUUAUUUUGGGUUUUGUUCUCAUUUAUAACAAGGACAUUACGAGAGAAACAUGAUUUUAAACAUAAAAAUUACAUACCAACACGCGUUAUAAUAAUAUUUCUCUAUUAAAACAGAAGCAUGUUUUGUGUUUUAACGGAUUUUUUUAUAUUUUUUUACUAUAUUUUACUACUAGAUAUCUACUAUUGCUGUUAUCAAACAAAAAUUUUAAUUUUUUUUAUUUGUUUCCAAUUUAUAAAAUAAUAUAUUUGAAUUUAAUAUUUAAAAUUAAUUUCGAAAAUUUUAAAUUUUAAUUUAAUUAGUUUAGAUUUUCUUAGAUAUAGUUAGGAUUAAUUAUUAAAAUUAAAAAAAUUAGCUGUUAUUAUUUUUAUAACGUAUUAAAUAAGAUAUUAAUUUAUUUUCUUUUUAAAUAUCCAAAUGUAAAUAAUAUUUUUAUAAUGAUAAUAAUAAACGUUAUAUUAUUAUAUAUUUUAUAAAAAAUUAUUUUAAAAUUUUAAAUAUUUUAAAUUAAAUAUAUAUAUAUUAUAUGGUAAUAUGAAUAGAUAUGAUAAAAUUAUAUUUUUCUAUCCAUGGUUUUUUCCGAUUAAUCGAAUAAAUGAGUUAAAAUUAUGUUUUAUAAUCGUGAUCAAAUUUAUUAGAAAAAAAAAUUUAAAAAUAAAUAAAUUAUAUCUAAACAUAAAAAUAAAUUAUAUCAUUUAUUACAAAUAUAUUAUAUAUAUUAAAAUACAAAUUAGAUUAAAAAAAAAAUUCUCGUGCAAAUGCACAAGAUAGAAUCUAAUUUUUUAUAUUAAAACAUAGUCGUUUUUGAUGGUGCAUUGUCGACAACAGAAUCUAGAGUUAACACUGUUGACGGCGUCCUUUUUUUGUCGACAACAGAAUCAUUUCAUUUAAGCUCAAAGGCAAAACACAUACGAGAACAGAAAACAUGUACAUACACGUGUUAUUGUGUCAAGCCCUGAAACAACACGUGUCGUGCUUAAGCCUGCCCGCAAAUUCAAGCUGCUUCCGUCGUCAUUCUUCAACGCCAGCAGUCACAGACGCCAUCGUAAUCAGUGCUAGCUAAGCUUCACCGCCAGCGACUCCAAUCCCCACAUCCAAUUAAUCUCAUGCCUUGAUGUCUUUCUUUCGCCAAUCUUUCAACUGCUUUUAGAUUUGAUUCUAGAUCUCCAUCUUCAAGGAAGAUUUGUCGCUGAUCAGAUCCAAUUUAUUAAUCUAAGCAAUGUUCAUGGUUGUUCUAAGAAUCGAGCAAGAGGAAAACAACAAAGAUAUUACUCCAAGCCAGAAGAAAAUCUGCAACAAAACUUAAAAGAAAAUCGCUGAAUCGGAGAAAGCAUGGCCGACAAAGAGAUUGCAAAAGGAGAAACCCAAACUUAGCCAGAAUAUUAUUAUCCGAAAAACAGAAAAAGAAAAUUCGAUCAAAAUCAAAAUGUAUAUAAUCAAAACCAAAAAACUUCGGUAAAGAUUCCGAUUUCAGAAAAAAAAUCAGAAAUUGCCUCUCUCUUUCUCUCUCUGAAAAAUAGGUGUGAGAGAGGAGACAUAAAUUUUUUUCUAUUGAUUUUUUUUGUGAGAGAAUCGAGCAAGAGGAUUUUUUUUUGUCGAUAUGGAUUAUAUUGAUUAAACCCAAAAGGCUGAAAUUAAACUGGCCAAUAUUGGGCCUCUCACAAUGAUAGUGAAGAGAUAAGUGGAAAAUAGAUGAUUAAACGUGUCCCAUGAUUCAUCCCCAGGUUAUACCACGUGUCUAUCUUCUACAAUCGCCAUCAUGUCAGCUACUCUGGGGACUCUCCGAUUUCCGUUGUAAUUUCGUACCUCUGCACUAUUUUUGCCGAUCUUCAGUUCCUGAAAUAUAUUUGUCAGAAUGAACAAUUCAUGAUGAAAUUAAGACAACUUCUAAGUUUUAUCCAUCGUCGCCGUCAGAUCUACUCUAUUGAUCAAAACUAUGUCUGCCAUUACUCCAAAUCAAGCAAGAGAAAAACAAUGAAGAUGUUACUCUAAGCAAGAUAAGAAACCUGAAAUAAAACUUAAAAUAAAAACGGUGAUUCUGAGAAGAGGAUAACACAGUCGGGGAAGAGAUCGAAAAGGAAUCCGGACUUUAGUUGGAAAGAGAAUCCGAUAAACAUAUAUUCUUUUGCUUGAUUGACAAAACCAACCCAGACAAUUCUUUUAGCAGGAAAAAAACUUUCCACUCUACUUUGAUUAAUGGAAAUUUUACUUCACAAGCAAAGGAUUCAUAAAUUAGAGUAGCAAAAGAAAAACUGGUGAUUGGAAUGGAAAAUCCGUUAAAACGAAAACUUUAUUAAUUCUAUUAUAUGCAAUAUAGAUAACAAAAAGUAACUAGUCGGAAGAGAUUAGAGAGCAAAAGAGAAACAUUUGCUCUCUCAGAGAGAGAGAGAGUGUGCCUUGAUAAAAUGUUUUGAUCUACG